AUGAGGAUCACGGCUUGGAACUGCCGGGGGUUGGGGAACGGCCCGGCAGUGAGAGGGCUUCUGGAUUUACAGAAGUAGGAGGACCCUGAUGUUCUUUUCUUGUCAGAAACCAAACUGAAUGGAAGGAAAAUGGAAAAUCUGAAAUGGCGAUUGGGAAUGAAUAACCUGGUGAUGAGGGACUGUGAAGGAAAAAGUGGCGGCCUUGCACUUCUAUGGAAGAAAGAUAUUAAAGUGGAACUCCACAACUAUUCCAGAUAUCAUAUAGAUGUGGUGAUAAUUGAAGGAGAUGGUUUCAGAUGA
rnacentral:rRNA from 1 species